rnacentral:rRNA from 1 species
AUUGAACGCUGGCGGCAGGCCUAACACAUGCAAGUCGAGCGGAGCGGCGGACGGGUGAGUAAUGCCUAGGUAUCUGCCUGGUAGUGGGGGGUAACGUCCGGAAACGGGCGAUAAUACCGCAUACUAUCAGAUGAGCCUAGGUCGGAUAAGCUAGUUGGUGGGGUAAAGGCCUACCAAGGCGACGAUCCGUAACUGGUCGGAAAGGAUGAUCAGUCACACUGGGAUGGAGACAGGGUCCAGACUCCUGCGGUAGGCAGCAGUGGGGAAUAUUAGACACUGGGAGAAAGCCUGAUCCAGCCAUGCCGCGUGUGUGAAGAAGGUCUUCGGAUUGUAAAGCACUUUAAGUUGGGAGGCGUUACCAACAGAAUAAGCACCGACUAACUUCGUGCCAGCAGCCGCGGUAAUAC